rnacentral:tRNA from 1 species
GGGGUUGUGGCUCAGUGGCCGAGCGCUUGCUCCUCACAUAUGAGGCACUGAGUUCAAUUCUCAGCACCACA